UGUCUGAGCCAAUCACUGUGCUGUUUGGACGGAGGUGACAGUCUGUUCGCUGACGUUCUCUGUUCUUUUCCGACUUUUCAAAUUCAUCUUUAAUUCUUAUCAGUCGGCCGAGUCAGUGAAGUGGAGCAUUGCAGCAGACAUGUUGCAGCAGUUGGUGAUUAAAGAAGAAAUGCUGUCUGAACAGCAGGAGUUGAGUUAGAGUAUCGACCAGAAGGACGUUAAACAGGAACAAGAGGAAGUCUGGACAAGUAACGAGGGACAGCAGCUUCACUGGCUGGACACUGAGAAGACCAAGUUUGGUUUUGCCCGUGUCCCUGUGAAGACUGAAAAUGAUGAUGAAAUGCCACAGUCAUCACAGGUUCUUCAAAACUCAGACAUGCAGCUGUUGUUGGUGAUUAAAGAAGAAACUCUCCCUGAACACCAGGAAUGGAAUC